rnacentral:rRNA from 1 species
AUGGCAAGUAGUAGUUCUUCUGCAGGAGGUGACAAGGUGAAUAAGCUGGUGACCAUCCUGAGCAUCGAUGGCGGCGGUGUGAGAGGGAUCAUCCCAGCCACCGUCCUCGCCUUCCUUGAGAAGGAGCUCCAGAAACUGGACGGGCCGGAUGCUCGGAUCGCGGAUUACUUCGACGUGGUCGCCGGCACCAGCACCGGUGGCCUUUUGACGGUGAUGCUCACGGCGCCGGACAAGGAUGGACGGCCGCUGUUCGAUGCCAAGGAUCUGGCAAAGUUCUACAUCGACGAGUCGCCCAAAAUCUUCUCACAGAAGGACUCAAUCUUCUCCAAGAUCGGCACAGCUCUGGGGAUGGUGACCGGGCCCAAGUACAAUGGCAAGUACCUCCAAUCGUUGCUCCGUCGGCACCUCGGCGCCACCAAGCUGGACGGGGCUCUCACCAGCGUGGUGAUCCCGGCCUUCGAUAUCACCCACCUGCAACCCACCAUCUUCUCCAGCUACCAGCUGAAGAACCAGCCAGCGAAGAACGCGCUCCUGUCAGACAUCGCCAUCGGCACCUCCGCCGCACCCACCUUCUUCCCGGCGCAUUACUUUGAGACCGAAGACGGCAAGGGCGGCACAAGGGCCUUCAACCUCAUUGACGGCGGCGUCGCCGCCAACAACCCUACACUAUGCGAUGAGCCAUGUGGCAGAGGACAUCAUCGUGGCUGGGAACGGUGA